CCAUGUCUCCAUAGACACACUUGUUAAAAGUUUGCUCCUCUAACGGGAAAAACUGCAUCUGUCAGGAUUUCUACAUCUUGGGCUAAAGCGUGCUGUAAUGCAAUCUAAAGUGGAGCAUGGCAUCUGAGGACCACGCUGGGGGAAGCAGGGAGGAGUACAGCCAGACUGUGAUGUGAAAGUCCAUAUAAGGCUGCAGGCGAGGAAAUUACCAGAAAGGAACUGAUAUCACCUUCAUCUCAUGGGUCAUGGGUCAGUCGUCUGGUAGCAGCAUGUUCCUCGUACUGUCAGACUGUACAUGUAUGUAUGAAGUCAACAAAAAGAUCAGUGUCUGUCAUCAGAGGAGAUCCUGCAGAGGUGCUUCACCUCCAUGUAAUGGGAGUACACAUUGUCUUGCAUGUGAAAUUAAGUUAGCUGUGAGGUAACAUAAUUACAAUUUCACUUGUGUAAGGUUGGGUUAUAUUAGAAUGAAUAAGGUAUGAAGUUUCAGAGCUCCACAAAAGUUGCAGUAGGAGUGUGGCUGCUCACUGUUAUUCAGCUUGUAUGGGCAACAGUAAGGUAGAAAGAAUAUUUAAGUUAUAUCAAAGUUAAAACCUUUUAAAAAGAUAUUCCAGUAUUUUCUUGAACUCCUUGCACAUCAUAUACUUAUACACUCAACAAAACCAACACUAAAGAAACAACAUAACGUAAUGCAGUUGAAAGACUUGCUGUUACUGUGGUCUUGAUGGAAAAUAUUCAAACACUGCUCUGCAAACUUGUAGCUGGGCUAUGAUGUGAUGCGUACAGCAGCAACAGAGAACAGUGUGUUAGUCAGGAGCCACUCGCAGGUUGAAUUUAUACUUAAUAUUCCUUGUACAUAUUCUGAACAUUGCAUCAUAAUCCGUCACAAAAGGGAGCCCCAGCACACCUUACAGUAGCAAGUGGUAGUGAGUCUGAGUAGCUGUGAGUUAGAAAGUUUGUGUUUUUUUGCUAAUUACUUGCAUUUUACUCAUUUUCAUCAUGGUGAAUUAUUGUGUUUCUGUAUGUGCCACAAACUCAUGCCUGUCAGGACAUCAGUUUUAUCUAUCUAUCUACCUAUCUAUAUAUCUAUAUCUAUAUCUAUAUCUAUCUAUCUAUAUCUAUAUCUAUAUCUAUAUCUAUCUAUCUAUCUAUCUAUCUAUCU